AUUGAACGCUGGCGGCAGGCCUAACACAUGCAAGUCGAACGAGUGGCGGACGGGUGUGUAAUGUCUGGGAACCUGCCCGAUGGCGGGGGAUAACUACUGGAAACGGUAGCUAAUACCGCAUACCAUCGGCUUUGCCCAGAUGGGAUUAGCUAGUAGGUGGGGUAACGGCUCACCUCGGCGACGAUCCCUAGCUGGUCUGAGAGGAUGACCAGCCACACUGGAACUGAGACACGGUCCAGACUCCUACGGGAGGCAGCAGUGGGGAAUAUUGCGCAAUGGGCGAAAGCCUGAUGGAGCCAUGCCGCGUGUAUGAAGAAGGCCUUCGGGUCGUAAAGUACUGUCAGCGAGGAGGCGUUACCCACAGAAAAAGCACCGGCUAACUCCGUGCCAGCAGCCGCGGUAAUAC
rnacentral:rRNA from 1 species